rnacentral:tRNA from 1 species
GCGCCCGUAGCUCAGCUGGAUAGAGCGUCUGACUACGGAUCAGAAGGUCAGGGGUUCGAAUCCUCUCGGGCGCACCA